rnacentral:rRNA from 1 species
CCUACGGGAGGCAGCAGUGAGGAAUAUUGGUCAAUGGACGCAAGCCUGAACCAGCCAAGCCGCGUGCAGGAAGACGGCUCUAUGAGUUGUAAACUUCUUUUGUAUGAGGGUAAAGUCAGGUACGUGUUCCUGUUUGAAUGUACCGUAUGAAUAAGCAUCGGCUAACUCCGUGCCAGCAGCCGCGGUAAUACGGAGGAUGCAAGCGUUAUCCGGAUUUAUUGGGUUUAAAGGGUGCGUAGGCGGUCGGUUAAGUCAGCGGUGAAAGCUUGAGGCUCAACCAUAGAAUUGCCGUUGAAACUGGUUGGCUAGAGUAUAGUUGAGGUAGGCGGAAUGCGUGGUGUAGCGGUGAAAUGCAUAGAGAUCAUGCAGAACGCCGAUUGCGAAGGCAGCUUACCAAGCUACAACUGACGUUGAGGCACGAAAGCGUGGGGAGCAAACAGGAUUAGAUACCCGAGUAGUC